UCCCAGACUCCUACGGGAGGCAGCAGUGGGGAAUAUUGCACAAUGGGGGAAACCCUGAUGCAGCGACGCCGCGUGAGUGAAGAAGUAAUUCGUUAUGUAAAGCCCUAUCAGCAGGGAAGAAAGUGACGGUACCUGAGUAAGAAGCCCCGGCUAACUACGUGCCAGCAGCCGCGGUAAUACGUAGGGGGCAAGCGUUAUCCGGAUUCACUGGGUGUAAAGGGAGCGUAGACGGCGACGCAAGUCUGGAGUGAAAGCCCGGGGCCCAACCCCGGGACUGCUCUUGGAACUGCGUGGCUGGAGUGCAGGAGGGGCAGGCGGAAUUCCUGGUGUAGCGGUGAAAUGCGUAGAUAUCAGGAGGAACACCGGUGGCGAAGGCGGCCUGCUGGACUGCAACUGACGUUGAGGCCCGAAAGCGUGGGGAGCAAACAGGAUUAGAUACCCUAGUA
rnacentral:rRNA from 1 species